AUUGAACGCUGGCGGCAUGCCUUACACAUGCAAGUCGAACGGCAGCGGACCUUCGGGUGCCGGCGAGUGGCGAACGGGUGAGUAAUGCAUCGGAACGUGCCAUUGAGUGGGGGAUAACGUAGCGAAAGUUGCGCUAAUACCGCAUAUUCUGUGCGCAGGAAAGCAGGGGACCGCAAGGCCUUGCGCUCUUUGAGCGGCCGAUGUCAGAUUAGCUAGUUGGUGAGGUAACGGCUUACCAAGGCGACGAUCUGUAGCGGGUCUGAGAGGAUGAUCCGCCACACUGGAACUGAGACACGGUCCAGACUCCUACGGGAGGCAGCAGUGGGGAAUUCUGGACAAUGGGGGCAACCCUGAUCCAGCCAUGCCGCGUGAGUGAAGAAGGCC
rnacentral:rRNA from 1 species